AAAGGAGCAAUUGCUUCACUAUGAGAUGGACCUGCGUUGUAUUAGCUAGUUGGUGGGGUAACGGCUCACCAAGGCAUCGAUACAUAGCCGACGUGAGAGGGUGAUCGGCCACACUGGGACUGAGACACGGCCCAGACUCCUACGGGAGGCAGCAGUGGGGAAUAUUGCACAAUGGGGGAAACCCUGAUGCAGCAACGCCGCGUGAGUGAUGAAGGUUUUCGGAUCGUAAAGCUCUGUCUUUGGGGAAGAUAAUGACGGUACCCAAGGAGGAAGCCACGGCUAACUACGUGCCAGCAGCCGCGGUAAUACGUAGGUGGCGAGCGUUAUCCGGAUUUACUGGGCGUAAAGGGAGCGUAGGCGGAUGAUUAAGUGGGAUGUGAAAUACCCGGGCUCAACUUGGGUGCUGCAUUCCAAACUGGUUAUCUAGAGUGCAGGAGAGGAGAGUGGAAUUCCUAGUGUAGCGGUGAAAUGCGUAGA
rnacentral:rRNA from 1 species